GCUCAGAACGAACGUUGGCGGCGUGGAUUAGGCAUGCAAGUCGAACGAGAACCGGGUAGCAAUACCCGGGGAAAGUGGCGAAAGGGGCAGUAAGGCGUGGGUAACCUACCCUGGGGUUGGGCAUAGCCGGUCUAACGACCGAGUAAUUCCCAGCGACGUCAAUGGGGGACAUCCCCUGAUGACCAAAGAUUUAUCGCCCCGGGAGGGGCCCACGUGAUAUUAGCUAGUUGGCGGGGUAACGGCCCACCAAGGCGAAGAUGUCUAGCAGGUGUGAGAGCACGACCUUCGCCACUGGCACUGGGACACUGGCCAGACUCCUACGGGAGGCUGCAGUCGAGGAUCUUCGGCAAUGGGCGCAAGCCUGACCGAGCGACGCCGCGUGUGCGAUGAAGGCCCUCGGGUCGUAAAGCACUGUCGGGGGGGAGAAAGGGCAACCUGAUCGACCCCCGGAGGAAGCACGGGCUAAGUUCGUGCCAGCAGCCGCGGUAAGACGAACCGUGCGAACGUUAUUCGGAAUCACUGGGCUUAAAGGGCGCGUAGGCGGGCUCCCAAGUCAGGGGUGAAAUCCCACGGCUCAACCGUGGAAGUGCCUCUGAUACUGGGGGCCUCGAGGGGUGCAGGGGCGUGCGGAACUCAGGGUGGAGCGGUGAAAUGCGUAGAUAUCCUGAGGAACACCGGUGGCGAAAGCGGCGCGCUGGACACCUUCUGACGCUGAGGCGCGAAAGCCAGGGGAGCAAACGGGAUUAGAUACCCCGGUAGUCCUGGCCCUAAACGUUGGGUACUGGGUAGCGGCCCCCCACGGGGUCGCUGCCGCAGCGAAAGUGUUAAGUACCCCGCCUGGGGAGUAUGGUCGCAAGGCUGAAACUCAAAUGAAUUGACGG
rnacentral:rRNA from 1 species